AUCUGAGGAUCCAGGGGGGAGGAGAAAGGGGAGAAGGGGAGGGGAGGAAGAAGGAGAGAAAGGUUAAAUAAAAUGAAGAACUCAUUGGGAAAGUUAUGAGAAGCAAAGUUUUGUGGGAAUUCAUAUAAGGUAGAGGUAAUCUUUAGUUGUGAGACCAAAGAGUAUGGCAGCUGGUUCUUAAAGAAAGAUGGAAAUUAUUUUAUAAAGAAAGCCCUGCCCUGUUCCCACAUAAUGGCAAAUUCCCAUCAGGGCACAAGGCAGGGCACAAAGACACCGGUGAGGGGAUAGAACCAGUGAUGGCCUGGACCUCAGUCGUAACUAUAAAUGAGGGUAGAGGGAUUUAUUUUGGGACACUUUCUAGUAGGUAGAACUGUAAGGUUGGUUGACAGAUUACAAAUAAGAUAGGGGAGAUAGGAAGUUAAGAGUUGAGCCCCACCAUCGGGAAAAGCCAGGUGCCUUCAUAGAAAUAAAGUAGCUGAAGUCUGGCUUCGGAUGCUUCACAUGUAACUCACCCAUUAGUUAAGUGGUCAAGGCACUUGUCCUUCUGGGUCUAGAGCUCAAAAGAGAAGUUCUGGCUGGAGACUCAGAAUAUAUUGUCAGAAUGUACAGUCUUCAAAGAGAUCACCUGGAAUGAGUUUAGAUGGGUGUCCAGGACAAAACCUUGGACACUCCAUUGAAGAGAAGGAAGCAAUAAAGGAAGAGUCACAGAGAGCUGAGAGAAGCAAGGGAGAGGAGGAACUGAGAAGUCAAGCCAAAGGAAGUAUGAUGAGAAAGAAAGUCCAAUGGGCUGGAUGCUAGUGGCUCACCCCUCUAAUUCUAGCUAUUCAGGAAGCUGAGAGCUGAUGAUCACAGUUUGAAA